GCGGGCGUGGCGGAAUUGGUAGACGCGCUAGAUUUAGGUUCUAGUGACUUUUGUCGUGUGGGUUCAAGUCCCUCCGCCCGUACCA
rnacentral:tRNA from 2 species